UACAGAGGUCUCAAGCGUUGUUCGGAUUCAUUGGCGUAAAGGGUGCGUAGGCGGCGCGGUAAGUCGGGUGUGAAAUCUCGGAGCUUAACUCCGAAACUGCAUUCGAUACUGCCGUGCUUGAGGACUGGAGAGGAGACUGGAAUUUACGGUGUAGCGGUGAAAUGCGUAGAUAUCGUAAGGAAGACCAGUGGCGAAGGCGGGUCUCUGGACAGUUCCUGACGUGAGGCACGAAGGUCAGGGGAGCAAACGGG
rnacentral:rRNA from 1 species